CGAGCACGGUGCACGGUAGUAGGCGCCGAGUUGCGAGAGCGAGUGCAGCAGCAGCAGUAGCAACCUUAGUGGUUCGUGCUCUCCGAGUUUUACGUCGCACGUGCUUAUCCUCGACUUUAGCCGACGCGACGGCUACACGUGCAGUGAGUGCGCGAUCUCUCUCGUUCUCUCGCUCUCCGUAGUGUUUCUCUCUACACGAAUUCUUCAGGCUUUUUUUCGUUGCCAAGUUCUCUCUUUCUUUCUUUUUCGUUUCGUUUGUUGGUUUUAUUUGGUGUCAAAAGUGCGUCGAUCUACGUCGUUCGCUCGCGUCGAGCAGCUGCGAGCAGCAUCGGUGCAGCGCAGCGUCACUGCACGUCUGAUCGGACACGGAUCCAUACUACUUGCAAAAUCAAGAUCGCGCGAAAAAACAAUUUCUGAUGGAAGUGGUGCUGCCGUCGCCGCCGUCGUAGCAAGAAAAACAGAGGAGACGUUAUCAACAGCCUGCAGCGUACAGAGUCGGAGGCAGCAGUAGCAGUAGCACAUCGCAAUCAUAAAGAAGAAGAAGAAGAAGAAGAAGGAGAGAGCCAAAGAGCGAAAGCUGAGCGCAAUGGGAUGAUAAAGGCCAGCAGCAAUAGCGGCCGCAGUAGCUUCCAAAGCAACGCCAGUAUCAAGCGGUAUCAGCGGAAUCAGCAUCAGAAACAACGACGCCAGCAGCAGCAGCAGCAGCAGCAGCAGCGGCAGUAGCAGCGGCGGCGCCUGCUUCAGUGUUAUUCGCGUCAGUGCUCCGUGACGACUAGUGUGAUAGUGCGGGGGUGUGAGUGCGCGCGUGAAAUACAAGUGUUUUUCUUUUCUUCGAAUUUCAACAUCGCGUGUGCGUAACAAAAUUAUACCGGUGCCGAUCAGUGUGUGUGUGUGCGGAGUUCGGUAUUUUGCGUAAUAAAUAAAAAAAAAUCUUAGGCCGAGUCGGGCUUUGAUCGUUUUCGCGGCUGGGCUAUGCCGCACAGGCCGGAACGGGCCCCGCUCGACUGGCCGCGGUGGCGCUCGGCUGGACCGAAUGCUCAGCGCUGGCAGCUCUGCGGUGGGCCUGCCAAGUUGGUCCGGCUAGUGUCUCCAGGUCCGUCAUCGGCUGCAGCGGCAGCAGCGCAACAACAACAACAACAAAAUCAACAGCAUCAACAACAACAACAACAGCAUCAGC